rnacentral:rRNA from 1 species
CAUGUCCUUUUGUUGAUGAUUUAAGGUCUGGCCUGCUCGAUGAGGUUUAAAUUGCCGCAGUAUUUUGACUGUGCGAAGGUAGCAUAAUAGUUAGUUUCUUAAUUAGGAACUUGAAUGAAGGGUCGAACAAGGAAGAUUCUGUCUCUGUUUAAGUGUUUAUUGAAUUUUAUUUUUUAGUUAAAAAGCUUAAAUUUAUUUGAAAGACGAGAAGACCCUAUAGAGUUUUAUAUUUAUUUUUUAUUAGUUUUUAGAAAUUUAAUUUUAAUUUAAUUAUUUAGUUGGGGUGACUUGAAGAUUAAUAAAAUUCUUUAAAUUGUUAAUUGAUGAUAUUUAAAUUUUAAAUCUGGGCUUUCCAAGUUUAAAUGAAAUUACCUUAGGGAUAACAGCGUAAUUUUUUUUUAAAGUUCUAAUUGAAAAAAGAGUUUGCGACCUCGAUGUUGGAUUAAAAUUAACUUUUGGUGCAGGAACUUGAAAGUUGGGUCUGUUCGACCUUUAAAAUUUUACAUGAUCUGAGUUUAGACCGGCGUGAGCCAGGUUAGAUUCUAUCUUUAUAGAAAAUUUAUUUUUUAGUACGAAAGGACCGAGAAUAGAUUAUACGUUAAUUG